rnacentral:tRNA from 74 species
GCUUGAAUAGCUCAGUUGGUAGAGCAAUCGGCUGUUAACCGAUCGGUCGUAGGUUCGAGUCCUACUUCAAGCGCCA